rnacentral:rRNA from 1 species
AACGUAGGACGCAAGCGUUAUCCGGAGUUACUGGGCGUAAAGCGCGGGCAGGCGGUUCUGCCAGUCUGAUGUGAAAUCUCCUCGCUCAACGGGGAGCAGCCAUUGGAAACUACAGAACUGGAGUCUGACAGAGGUAGGCGGAAUUCCGGGUGGAGUGGUGAAAUGCGUAGAUAUCGGGAGGAACACCAGUGGCGAAGGCGAGUCUCUGGGAUGAUACUGACGCUGAUGCUCGAAAGCUAGGGGAGCAAACGGG